GGGGGGCAUGCAUGGGCGGAGCCUGAUGCAGCAACGCCGCGUGAGGGAUGACGGCCUUCGGGUUGUAAACCUCUUUUAGCAAGGAAGAAGCGAAAGUGACGGUACUUGCAGAAAAAGCGCCGGCUAACUACGUGCCAGCAGCCGCGGUAAUACGUAGGGCGCAAGCGUUAUCCGGAAUUAUUGGGCGUAAAGAGCUCGUAGGCGGUUUGUCGCGUCUGCUGUGAAAACCCGAGGCUCAACCUCGGGCCUGCAGUGGGUACGGGCAGACUAGAGUGCGGUAGGGGAGAUUGGAAUUCCUGGUGUAGCGGUGGAAUGCGCAGAUAUCAGGAGGAACACCGAUGGCGAAGGCAGAUCUCUGGGCCGUAACUGACGCUGAGGAGCGAAAGGGUGGGGAGCAAACAGGCUUAGAUACCCUGGUAGUCCACCCCGUAAACGUUGGGAACUAGUUGUGGGGUCCAUUCCACGGAUUCCGUGACGCAGCUAACGCAUUAAGUUCCCCGCCUGGGGAGUACGGCCGCAAGGCUAAAACUCAAAGGAAUUGACGGGGACCCGCACAAGCGGCGGAGCAUGCGGAUUAAUUCGAUGCAACGCGAAGAACCUUACCAAGGCUUGACAUACACGAGAACGCCGUAGAAAUACGGAACUCUUUGGACACUCGUGAACAGGUGGUGCAUGGUUGUCGUCAGCUCGUGUCGUGAGAUGUUGGGUUAAGUCCCGCAACGAGCGCAACCCUCGUUCUAUGUUGCCAGCACGUAAUGGUGGGAACUCAUGGGAUACUGCCGGGGUCAACUCGGAGGAAGGUGGGGAUGACGUCAAAUCAUCAUGCCCCUUAUGUCUUGCGCUUCACGCAUGCUACAAUGGCCCGGUACAAAGGGCUGCAAUACCGUGAGGUGGAGCGAAUCCCAAAAAGCCGGUCCCAGUUCGGAUUGAGGUCUGCAACUCGACCUCAUGAAGUCGGAGUCGCUAGUAAUCGCAGAUCAGCAACGCUGCGGUGAAUACGUUCCCGGGUCUUGUACACACCGCCCGUCAAGUCAUGAAGUCGGUAACACCUGAGCCGGUGGCCCACCCUUGUGGAGGGAGCGUCGAAGGUGGGAUCGGUAUAGGACUAGUCGUACCAAGGGUAACC
rnacentral:rRNA from 1 species